rnacentral:rRNA from 1 species
GAUGAACGCUGGCGGCGUGCCUAAUACAUGCAAGUCGAGCGAAUGGAUUAAGAGCUUGCUCUUAUGAAGUUAGCGGCGGACGGGUGAGUAACACGUGGGUAACCUGCCCAUAAGACUGGGAUAACUCCGGGAAACCGGGGCUAAUACCGGAUAACAUUUUGAACCGCAUGGUUCGAAAUUGAAAGGCGGCUUCGGCUGUCACUUAUGGAUGGACCCGCGUCGCAUUAGCUAGUUGGUGAGGUAACGGCUCACCAAGGCAACGAUGCGUAGCCGACCUGGGAGGGUGAACGGCCACACUGGGACGGGAACACGGCCCAGACUCCUACGGGAGGCAGCAGUAGGGAAUCUUCCGCAAUGGACGAAAGUCUGACGGAGCAACGCCACGUGAGUGAUGAAGGCUUUCGGGUCGUAAAACUCUGUUGCUAGGGAAGAACAAGUGCUAGUUGAAUAAGCUGGCACCUUGACGGUACCUAACCAGAAAGCCACGGCUAACUACGUGCCAGCAGCCGCCGUAA